rnacentral:lncRNA from 1 species
CAAGCCCACAGCUAGAACAUACACAAAUACCAGAGCUUGACAUUGAGGACGCAUUCCAUGAAGAUGAAGAUGCUGAUGAGAUUCCUACCAUUAAACUCAAUAUUGAGGAGUUGAAUCAGAAUCUGUUGAACUACAUUCAAAAGAAUGUUGUUUUAACUUCAGAGAGUGAAAUGUCAAAGGCAUUAGUGGUUUUAACUCCAGAAGCUGCUUCAAUCCCCACGACUAAACUUAAGAACAUAAGCCGAUUAAGGACAGAGCAUUACGUGUAAGUUCAUUCAAGCUUAGCUACAAACAUAUACCUGCAAUUCAUUAACUAAAGAGUAAAGACAUGUAUAGACUUGCAAAACAUGUACAAAGCACAACUUCUUGUCUUAAAAGAUGACAGUAUAAUGAAUAGCUGCUAGAUGCCUAACUAUCUACCAAUUUAACAGCUACGAGCUUCCUGAUGCGCAUCCACUGCUGAAAGGGGUUAGUGUUACAUCUGCUUCUCAUUUGACAUAUAGUUCCUGCCUACCAUGUGCAACUGAACUUUCUAACCAUCUUACUGUAUUAAAAUCCAGUUUGACCAACGAGAACCAGAUGAUCCAUCAUCAUACCUUCUCGCCAUAUGGACACCAGGUAAGCUAACAUGAUGAAAGUGAAACAACAGAAACCCUUAGCAGAGGGCUUGAAACAUGCUGAUCAAUGACUUUUUGAUGUAUAUUAUGGAAUGAAUAUAUGAAUCUUAUACCCGUGUGUGUGUCUACUCAUCAAUAGUUUUUUAAGUGUAAAUGGGAAAACCUCUCAAUAUCAGGUGAAACUAUAGACUCUAUUCAGCCACCAGAAAGAUCAUGCAGCUUCCAAGAAUCUGGCAAACUAUGUGAUCGGGAAACAUGCUUUUCGUGCAACAGCAUACGUGAAGCAAACUCCCAAACUGUUCGAGGCACACUACUGGUGAGGACGCAUCCUUUUUGUGCCUCUUACUUCAUAACAGUGUAAUUCCUAAUUUAUGAUGACCCCUGUGCACAGAUACCAUGUCGAACAGCUAUGAGGGGUAGCUUUCCGCUUAAUGGCACAUACUUCCAAGUUAAUGAGGUACACAAGUCCAGCAACAGUGAAAUCUUAUAGAUUCUAUGAACAAAAGCCUCAAAAGGAACUCACUAACUGCAGGUGUUUGCGGACCACGAAUCUAGCCUUAACCCAAUUGAUGUGCCAAGAAAUUGGUUGUGGAAUUUGCGUAGACGAACAGUUUACUUUGGAACAUCCAUACCUACCAUAUUUAAAGGUAAGUAAUAGUAGAGUUCAUUCAUCGUUUUAGUUAAUAACUAGUUCCUACUUCAUCCAAGGUAGUUCCUGGAGUACAUGACAUUUUUUGUUUUCUUGUUUAUUAGGACUGUCACAGGAGGAAAUUCAAUACUGCUUCUGGAGAGGUAACAAAAAAAAAAAAAGAAAUCAAACACUUUUUGCAGUUAAUUCAGCAGCUUCAUUUGAAUUUUGGUAACUAAUUUUGUAGCAUUACGUAGCAUGCACAAGGAAAUUACUUGCAAAAUUUAGUACAACUUUGUUUCUUCCGAAAUUAGAGGCUUGCUACUAGCUAUCAUAUCCUGAAAUGAGCAGUUCAAGCGAGGUUCAACAACAUAAUAGCAUCUUAUUUAAACACUUUGCUUCAUUUCUUAAAAGGUAACUUUAUCCUCUUAAACACAGUUCUCAUAUGUAUCGACUCCUAUUGACAGACAGAUUUUGGACUUCAAAUUCUACUAGUCCUUAUUUAUACAUCAUUAAGGUACUUAUUUAAUAAGGAAAGUUUAAUUCUUAGACCUGCUCAACAAAAAUGUAGUUUAGACUCGUAGGAAAGAAGUGCUUGGCGUGCAAAACCAACCUUGCUGCUAGAAGGCGGACAAGAGAAAACUAUCUAUGGUUGGGCCAGAAAGUACCAGACAUGAUAAAUGUCAUAUUUUGUAAAGAAAAUUCUGGUCUUGCUAGCUGUGAUUCUCAUUCAUUGACCAAUGUGUAUUAACAGGAUCAAUAUGAUGCCCUCAAUCAAGGAAACAAUCCACAAAGUAUGGAACCAUACGACAAUGAAUGUGUUAGAAGACCAAAAUACAUAAUUUCACAACCUAUUUCCUUUAGAAAUAGUCCAUCUUAGAAAGUAUAAUGCGUUUCUAGCAUGCUAUCCCUAUUGGCAACGGUUAUAUCGCUUCCUUUUCCAGUUGCUUAAUGUAACCUCUGUGUUUGCUAGGGUUCGUGUGCUUAAGGGGAUUUGACAGGAAGACACGAGCGCCUCGACCACUUGUUGCUAGACUACACUUCCCAGCCAGCAAGUUGACUAAGAAAAGAGGAAGGACAGAUGAAAGUUAAGGCAUUGAUCCCUCACCAUUGCUGCAUUCUAUAAUAUUUGGUGACAUGGCACCAAACUAGAGGGCUUGGAUUUUGACAGAAGUAAACAAUAGUCAGCAAGUUUUGUAUAAAGGCAAUCACAAGGGAUUCGGCAUGUUUUAGCAUAAUGUGAUCGUUAAACUUUUGUUGUAUAGAGUCAAUUAACUUAAUGGAAAAGAGGCCGGUCAGCGAAAUUAGGUCAUGUUUCUUUAAAUUACUACCUCGUUUCUUUAUAAUUGUCGUUUAUUCCUUUUUGGAAAAUUGUCUCAAAUUUUGUUGGAUAUGGGAUGGCAUUUUAAAAGGGUGGUAAGACCAAUAGAUCUCCAGAAACGCUACAUGAUUUGGAAGCUUUUUAUGGAUAGUUUUGCUGGGAGUAUUAGAUUGAAUUUUCAGCAGCAAUGAGGAAUACAGAUGAAAAGAUGAGCUUAGUUUGGUCGGGUCUGAUUAGCAAACCCCAGCGCCAAGCUGGCAGAAGUAUAUCGCCAGAUAACGCUUCGGAAACUGACAGGACUAUCAAAUUUCUAAUUGUUGUUGUCAGUUCUAAAAAUAGAGAUUGUUGCGCACUUUGACAUGUUUUCUCCCAAUGAAAAUAAUUAGAUAUGCAGCCGUUUAACAACCCUAAAUUCUCAAGUCUUGACAGGUAUGGAACGGAUUCAGACACUUGCCCUUUUAUUUCCACAACAAGCGAUGAAUAGUUAGUUGCAAUUAAGUGGAAGCAAAAUCAAAACAAAAUCGUUGGACGAAAGUAAGAUCAGAGACUGAUUCAGUUGAAGGAACAAAAAAGGAGUUAAUCAGCUCUGGAACAAACUGUCGGGUAAUCUAUCCAGCUAAGCCCCGUGAAACCUUAGCAAAUGCAAGAAACAAACCAGACGGAAAGUGGAGUAAAAAGAGGCCAAAAAGUUAGUAUGCGUAUUGAGGGUAAACUGAGGAUAGAGAGAGCAAAAGAGGAAAAGUUUCUCAGAGAUCCCCUCCACCGACCAAAAUUCAAUGACUGCUACCAUGACCGGACAUAUACUACUCAAAACAGGGAUAGGCGGUCCUCACGUUUUAGACUUGAAUAUAAUUUAACUCACAAGACAGGAGUAGCGAAAGGAGGAGAAAAAUGAGCGAAGUAUGUAAAUAGGGAGAGUUAAAGACACUUACCAAGCAGCUCUUUCGCCUUUUUGUUGGGAAUCUGGGAAGAAACCAGGAAGUUUCUGCAGCUUCAAGAUGAACUGAGGUGCCCAGAUAUGCCUACGGAGGCCCAGAUAAAAACUGCAAAAGAAAAAAGGCGGUCACAGAUCUUAUGGCAGUAGAACUCGGAUAGAAGUGCCCCAACAAAAAAUUUGCAAUUACGACUUUCAAUCCCCAACCGAAUUCGAUCCCAAACACAAACUUCUAAAACAUACACAAACAUGCGAACGACUUCUCGAUUCCGAUCUAAGUUCAGAACUGAUAUGACGGAUGAAAUGAAAGCUUGAAUACUUAAAUCUAAUCGAUUCAAACCAAAAUAACAACAGAUUCAGAGGUCCGUAGACUAUACGUAUACAGAUGCAUGACUAACCCGUUUGAGCGGAGGCUGGAAUGGUUGUGGUGAACAGUAUCGAGGCCUGAAAUGAUGACUUUGAGAGAUCUAGGCUUGUUUGCUUUGCUGGGUGCAAUUUGG